GAUGAAGAACGUAGCGAAAUGCGAUACUUGGUGUGAAUUGCAGAAUCCCGUGAACCAUCGAGUCUUUGAACGCAAGUGGCGCCCGAAGCCAUCAGGUUGAGGGCACGUCUGCCUGGGCGUCACAUAUCGUUGCCCAAUGCCUAUUGCAGUGCAAUAGGAAUUUCUAGGGCGAAUGAUGGCUUCCCGUGAGCGUUGUUGCCUCGCGGUUGGUUGAAAAUCGAGUCCUUGGUAGGGUGUGCCAUGGUAGAUGGUGGUCGAGUUAGAACGAUACCGAUCAUGUGCAUGCUCCCCAAAAUAUGGCCUCUAUGACCCACACGCGUCUUUUGACGCUCAUGACGAGACCUCAGGUCAGGCGGGGCUACCCGCUGAAUUUAAGCAUAUCAAUAAGCGGAGGA
rnacentral:misc_RNA from 1 species